CGAUGGUUCAUUCAAAUUUCUGCCCUAUCAACUUUCGAUGGUAGAGUAGUGGUCUACCAUGGUUUCAACGGGUAACGGGGAAUUAGGGUUCUAUUCCGGAGAGGGAGCCUGAGAAACGGUACCACAUCCAAGGAAGGCAGCAGGCGCGCAAAUUACCCAAUCCCGACACGGGGAGGUAGUGACAAUAAAUACUGAUACAGGGCUCUUUUGGGUCUUGUAAUUGGAAUGAGUACAAUUUAAAUCCCUUAACGAGGAACAAUUGGAGGGCAAGUCUGGUGCCAGCAGCCGGGGUAAUUCCAGCUCCAAUAGCGUAUAUUAAAGUUGUUGCAGUUAAAAAGCUCGUAGUUGAACCUUGGGCCUGGUGGCAGGUCCGCUCACCGGUGGCAACUGGUCCGGCCGGGCCUUUCCUUCUGGGGAGCCGAUGCCCUUCACUGGGGUGUGUCGGGAACCAGGAACUUUUUACUUUGAAAAAAAUUAGAGUGUCCAAAGCAGGCCUAUGUCGGAAUACAUUAGCAUGGAAUAAUAGAAUAGGACGUGUGGUUCCUAUUAAGUGGUUUCUAAGGGACCGGCCGUAAUGAUUAAUAGGGAUAGUCGGGGGCAUCAGUAUUCCAAUUGUCAAGAGGUGGAAAAU
rnacentral:rRNA from 1 species